rnacentral:rRNA from 1 species
UUAUCCUCAUAAGUUAGACGAAAAGAGGUACCACACAUUGAUUUAUAAGAAAAUUUUUAUUUUAAAAUCAUAAGGUGGUGGCACAGAAUCGGAGGCCCCGACUGUUUACUAAAAACACAACACAGUGCAAUCAUUAAUAUGAUAGUAUACUGUGUGAAAUUUGCUCAAUGCCAUAAACAUAAGAUAAUUUAUGAUUAGUAAAUUAUUGAAGGAUUGGUGAAUAGCGGUCUUAACUAUGAGGAUCCUAAGGUAGCAAAAUAAAUUGGCCAUUAAAUGUGGUCCAGUAUCAAUAAUGUAACGAUGGCCUCACUGUCUCUACAMCUUGCUCAGUGAANUUGAAUUACGCGUGCACAUGCGCGUUACCUCC